GUCCGUAUGGUGCAGUGGUAGCAUAGUUGCCUUACAAGUGGGUCCUCACACGGAACGCAAAUGGUCCUAGGUUCGAACCCUAGUACGGACA
rnacentral:tRNA from 1 species